rnacentral:rRNA from 1 species
GCUAAACGCGAAGAACCUUACCUGGGUUUGACAUGUAGAGAAAAGCCAUAGAGAUAUGGUGUCCUCGGGUUCGUACACAGGUGGUGCAUGGUUGUCGUCAGCUCGUGUCGUGAGAUGUUGGGUUAAGUCCCGCAACGAGCGCAACCCUUCGUCCUAUGUUGCCAGCACGUCAUGGUGGGGACGUCGUAGGAGACUGCCGGGGUCAACUCGGAGGAAGGUGGGGACGGACGUCAAAUCAUCAUGCCCCUUAUAUCCAGGGCUGCAAACAUGCUACAAUGGCCGGUACAAAGGGCUGCGAAACCGCGAGGUGGAGCGAAUCCCAUAAAGCCGGUCUCAGUUCGGAUUGGAGUCUGCAACUCGACUCCAUGAAGCUGGAGUUGCUAGUAAUCCCGGAUCAGCAACGCCGGGGUGAAUACGUUCCCGGGUCUUGUACACACCG